GAUGAACGCUGGCGGCGUGCCUAAUACAUGCAAGUAGAACGCUGAAGGCAGGAGCUUGCUCUUUCCGGAUGAGUUGCGCACGGGUGAGUAACGCGUAGGUAACCUGCCUGGUAGCGGGGGAUAACUAUUGGAAACGAUAGCUAAUACCGCAUAACAGUAGAUGUUGCAUGAUAUCUACUUAAAAGGUGCAAUUGCACCACUACCAGAUGGACCUGCGUUGUAUUAGCUAGUUGGUGAGGUAACGGCUCACCAAGGCGACGAUACAUAGCCGACCUGAGAGGGUGAUCGGCCACACUGGGACGGAGACACGGCCCAGACUCCUACGGGAGGCAGCAGGAGGGAAUCGUCGGCAAUGGACGGAAGUCUGACCGAGCAACGCCGCGUGAGUGAAGAAGGUUUUCGGAUCGGAAAGCACUGUUGUAAGGGAAGAACGAGUGUGAGAGUGGAAAGAUCACACUGUGACGGUAUCGUAUCAGAAAGGGACGGCUAACUACGUG
rnacentral:rRNA from 1 species